rnacentral:misc_RNA from 1 species
GAUGAAGAACGCAGCGAAAUGCGAUACGUAAUACGAAUUGCAGAUUCAGUGAAUCAUCGAGUCUUUGAACGCACAUUGCGCCCCCUGGUAUUCCGGGGGGCAUGCCUGUCCGAGCGUCAUUGCUGCCCUCAAGCACGGCUUGUGUGUUGGGCCUCCGUCCUCCUCCCGGGGGACGGGCCCGAAAGGCAGCGGCGGCACCGCGUCCGGUCCUCGAGCGUAUGGGGCUUCGUCACCCGCUCUUGUAGGCCCGGUCGGCGCUUGCCGACACAUCAAUCUUUUUUCCAGGUUGACCUCGGAUCAGGUAGGGAUACCCGCUGAACUUAAGCAUAUCAAUAAGCGGAGGA